UCCUUCUUCUUCUGCCAUCAUCAUCAUCAUCUUCUUCUUCUUCUUCUACCAUUAGACCCAUAUCUACUUUGAAACCCAAGCUUUGAGCGAGAAAGGAAACGAAAGAAAAGAACAGGGAAUUGGGUUCUAAUUUUUCAGAGAGGUCAGAGAAGCGGGGAAACAGAGAGAGAAAGUGGGGGAGGAAGAAUAUAUUAAAUAAAGAUGAGAAAAA
rnacentral:lncRNA from 1 species